rnacentral:lncRNA from 1 species
AGAAUCACCUGGCGGUCUUGAUGAAACACAAGCUGCUGAGCUUUACUCCAGAAUUUCUGGUUCAGUAGGUCUGCAGUAGGACCUGAAAUUUUAUAUUUCUAACAAGUUUUCAGGAGCUGCUGAUGCCGCUAGUACAGGGCUCACAUUUUGAGAACCUCUGGUCUAGCAAGUUGCCACCAAGAAUGAAGAUUGGGCCAGAGAACAGGAGGAAAUUUGUUUUGCAACAGAAAACAUAAGAAAUUUUCCCUGCUUGGAAGAUACUCAUACAUACCAGAAACAAGUCAACAUUUUGAUUUCAAACAUCAAAAAAGGUGUCCAGAAAUCUCAAGAAUUUGAGACAUCCUAAGGAACUUUAAGUGCUGUGAGCCACAAGUAACAUCAAGAAAAGACAGGGAUGAAGAACCGCACUUACAAGCUAAGUAAGAUUAAACCCAGCAUGGAGAUAUAUGAAUUAAUAUGAACUCUGAGAAAGAAAUUGGUCAGCUAAAAAAUAUAUGGCUUUCCUGAAUAGACAAAAGAACAAAGAUUUUCCCUUUGGUGUAAGCUCAUCCUACACAUGUCAUUUGGACCAGACCAAGGCUGCUGUCAUGGAGGACCCACACCACAGCUUGGGAACCAUUCAUCUACCAGAGGGUCACAUGACUUCAAAUGACUCUUCUAGGGGCCACCUGCCAUGAUAGGGUACCAGCUCUUCCUCUGAAUUCCCAAUCCAUUUCUUGAGAACUACUGUUUCUAAUAAGAGGGGAAGAAGGUCAUGUGGGAAUCAGUUAAAUCACGUGUGGAUAGAAGACAAGUUCCAGCUUUGUGGGAAAUCCUGUAGCCUUCGCCAGGUACACCCUGACAAUCUCAGAACUGAUCAGGUAAAGCCAGCUCUGAGUUAGACCCUUCUGUGGCCUGUCAGGGAGAGCAGAGAGGGAUAUGCAGAAUCCAGGCAAACCUGUUGUCUGGACUGGCAGAAAUGGGAAGAAGCAUUUCCAGAACACAGCUGAACAACCAAACCAUCAUCUAUGUUCAAAGGGCUUCUUCUUAAAUGCAUUUCAAAUCGAUUUGCAAAUUUUAAACAAUGUGUCUUUAGUUUAAAAGCUCUAAAUAUUAAAAAAUCAGUAAAUUCUCCUUUAGCACUGCCCCACCCUCUGCCAUUCUUCUCUUUCUCAGCACAAUGGCAUUACUGUUCUAACCACUCAAUAUUCAAUAUCUUAUGUACUUUUAAGGAAAUCUUAGGCACAAGAAAAAAGUUUAUUUGUGAGGUGAGUUAACUCUUGUUUAAAAAAAAAAUGGGUUGGCUCAUAUAUAAACCUUACAAAAGGUUAAUGCAUAAAACACAAAUAUAGUUCAAUUUCCUUUUUAUGUGAUUAGAGAAACUUACCUACAGAGUUGCCUAUGACACCUACAAAAGAGGUGAUGAUAAGAAUGAUGCAGUUCACACUGUUCAAUGGUUCCUUAAAUUAAUGAACACCAGAUAUGUUAGUGUGAUUUCUUCUUCCUCUUUCAAGUUCUUUAUUUACCACUCCAUGCCCUCCAGGUUAGCUGAGUUUAGUGCUCUGGGAUAAUGACUAGUUGAAUUCGCUGCAAUUUUUUAAAUAUGCCUAGCAUAGGGGCCAAAGGAAAACUUCUCUUCCACUCUCUGAAGGUUCACUGAAAAUCAACUGGCAAAAGGCAGAUCAGUAGGAGAAAUGGCAUACAAAUUACUAGCAUCCACGAGGGAGAAUCACAGAGUGAUUGCCUCAUACCCCGUGGGGUAGAGGUGUUUAUAUACCCUACAUCUUAGGGGAAAAGGAAAUGGAGAUGUAUAGGUGACUUUAUAGGGACAGAAAACAAUUUUUAGGGGAAUUCACUGGGCUUGAAGAACAUACAAUGGCCAGAGACAAAGUCUGUUGGGCCUGCAGAGUGGACAAUGGUUUGUGACAAAAGUCUGUCCAGGUGUGUUGACAGAUUUCAGUCUUCCUUCCUGCGAUAGGAGAUGAGUUAAUGGAAACUCAGGGAAAACUUAGGGUAAUUGUCUUCUUCUUUGAUGGGUCCAGACUUUUCGGCAGAUAAGGAAACAUCAGAGAACAAAUUUAUCCUGUGCUUUGGGAGAUAGGAAGGGGAGAAGGUCAGGGAGACCUUGAGGCUCCUUCAGUUCAGCAUGUCAAAGUGCCAUAUCUUAGAGUAUCAGUUUCUGAGCCCCAACACUAGAAACAUGAACAAGUUAACAAUUCAGUUAAAAGGGAGAGAGAGAUGAACUGAGUGAAGUGCAUUGUAAUCCUUCCUGAGGUUAAGCUAGUGAUAGUCGGCCUCUCAGGCGAUUAUGUUCACCCUCCUAGUGUCAGGGAGACAUCUUUACUGCUUUUCCUAAGAGAACUUAAGAGAUACUGGGGCAGGGCAGGGAAUUGGAAGCAGAUAGCAAUGUGGACAAUCUGACUUUGUUGGCAAAUGACUAACCUGAAUACAAUGAAGUUAAACAUCUGCAGAUAGUUUCUGGUUGUUGGCUUUUAUCAGUUUUUAUAUCCAUGUGGAGUGGUGGGGCUGUGAUUAAGAAAGCUGGUGGACUGUGAAUUACAUUUUUCACCUUUUAGUUUAAGGAUUGAAUAUGACACAUUUGGGUGGAAGAGCACACCAGUUGGAUUUUACUUUUUUUUUUAAUGUGACUGAGAGAAAGUGAAUCAGCUGUAUUUUGUAUUUAUUCAGGUUUCAUAGUGCUGAUUCAGGGACAAGUGUCUUUGUUUUAUAUCAAAUUCUGGGUCUUUUUCAGCAGAAAUGAAUCAAAGAGAAUCAGAGAAAUGUGAGUUGACUUUUUUAAAGGAAACAGGAGGAUCUGGUGUCAGAGCUUUUAGUCCAGAGUUUCACAUUGAUGAUAGCUGUAGCUGCUUUCUAGAAUUCUCAGGAAUUAAUUACAACCAGAUUUGUUUUUGUGGCAUUCACAUCCCAUCUAUUUGUCAAUUGCUCAUCCACUCAUCCAACUUCUCCAUCUCCAUGGAAAUCAUUUCUUUUUUCCAAGGAAAAUCACACAGGAAAACAAUAGACUCAACUUGGAAACAUCAAAACAGUCAAAGCAGUCUUUCUGAGAACAAGGCCUAUAUCCCUCAGCUUGAUCUGUUUCCCUGAAAACACCCUGAAUGAUGUUUUUCUUAUGUUGAGCUCUUCAAGAUCCAUAUUCUUAGACACUGGGCCAAAAAUAAUGGGCUUGCCUUUCCCUGUGAGGGACCUUGCCCUAUGACCUAAGCUGCCCACACAACCACUGAGCAAUAAUCCUGUUGGCCUCUUAGAGGGAAAUGAUGAAAACAAGAAAUUGUCCCUCCAACUUGAGGGUUUUUUUCUCCAUAAGUCUUAAAAUUAAUGAGAGCAGUAAGAAAGCAUCGUGGCUUCAGUAUAAAUAUAAAAACUAUUAAUUGUAACAAUAGAGAAGAAGUCAUAAUUCAUAAUCAUUUCCAUCUUUCAUGUUGAAUAUUUCAGGGUUUGGAAAAAAAUAUUUGCAUUGAUUUUUUUCCCCGAAGCCUAAAUUAUUCACAAGUAUUAUGUAUCACUGAAUUAACAGUAGUCAGAAUUGUGUGUUCAACAUAAAUACCGAAGUAUAUAACUUUGAAUAUUUCCACAAAUACAAUGGAUAAAAAGGUAAUUUUGUUCACAUGAGUCAAUGAAUUUCGGAAGUAGAGGUGGCAACUCAAACAAACUCUACGCUCCAAACCCACCCCUUUGUGCUUCUUCAAGAAUCAAGAAUUAAGGCUACAAUUCUUAAUACCUACAUGUUGUUUGGCCAGUUACUUAACUUUUGUUUCUUAGUUUUCUCAUCUGUAAAAUGGAGCUACUUGUUUCUACUGCAUGGAAAUAUUAUGAGAACUACAAGUAUUAGAACAAUGCCUGCAGUAUAGCAAGAACUCAACGUUAGCUAUCAUGUUUAUUUAAACUUCCUAAUUCACUUUGUAACUUCUGUGCCUAAGGUGAAGAUCCAGGAAUACUUAAAGAAAUCUCUGAAACAGUUUCUUCUUCGUUUUUUUUUUUUUUUUUGAGAUGGAGUUUCACUCUUGUUGCAGUGGCACCAUCUCAGCU